UGGGGGCAACCCUGACCGAGCAACGCCGCGUGCGGGACGACGCCUUUCGGGGUGUAAACCGCUUUUCUGGGGGACGAGGCUAAUGAGUACGGACGGUACCCCAGGAAGAAGUCUCGGCUAACUACGUGCCAGCAGCCGCGGUAAUACGUAGGAGACGAGCGUUGUCCGGAGUUACUGGGCGUAAAGGGUGCGCAGGUGGCCGCGCGCGUGGGGAGUGAAAUCGCCUGGCUUAACUGGCGGGGGCUUUCCAGACGGCGUGGCUUGAGCCACAGAGGGGGGCGUGGAAUUCCGGGUGGAGCGGUGAAAUGCGUAGAGAUCCGGAGGAACACCGACGGCGCAGGCAGCGCCCUGGCUGUGAUGGCUGACACUGAGGCACGAAAGCUGGGGGAGCAAACAGGAUUAGAUACCCUGGUAGUCCCAGCCGUAAACGAUGUCCACCAGGUGCUGGGCGGAUCGACCCGUUCAGUGCCGCAGCUUACGUGAUGAGUGGACCGCCUGGGGAGUACGGCCGCAAGGUUG
rnacentral:rRNA from 1 species